rnacentral:rRNA from 1 species
UUCCCCUUCGGGGGACAAAGUGACAGGUGGUGCAUGGUUGUCGUCAGCUCGUGUCGUGAGAUGUUGGGUUAAGUCCCGCAACGAGCGCAACCCUUAAGCUUAGUUGCCAUCAUUAAGUUGGGCACUCUAAGUUGACUGCCGGUGACAAACCGGAGGAAGGUAGGGAUGACGUCAAAUCAUCAUGCCCCUUAUGAUUUGGGCUACACACGUGCUACAAUGGACAAUACAAAGGGCAGCGAAACCGUGAGGUCAAGCAAAUCCCAUAAAGUUGUUCUCAGUUCGGAUUGUAGUCUGCAACUCGACUACAUGAAGCUGGAAUCGCUAGUAAUCGUAGAUCAGCAUGCUACGGUGAAUACGUUCCCGGGUCUUGUACACACCGCCCGUCACACCACGAGAGUUUGUAACACCCGAAGCCGGUGGAGUAACCUUUUAGGAGCUAGCCGUCGAAGGUGGGACAAAUGAUUGGGGUGAAGUCGUAACAAGGUAGCCGUAUCGGAAGGUGCGGCUGGAUCACCUCCUUU